rnacentral:rRNA from 1 species
GACGAACGCUGGCGGCGUGCCUAAUACAUGCAAGUAGAACGCACAGUUUAUACCGUAGCUUGCUACACCAUAGACUGUGAGUUGCGAACGGGUGAGUAACGCGUAGGUAACCUGCCUGGUAGCGGGGGAUAACUAUUUGAAACGAUAGCUAAUACCGCAUCAUAUUAAUUAUUGCAUGAUAAUUAAUUGAAAGGUGCAAUUGCACCACUACCAGAUGGACCUGCGUUGUAUUAGCUAGUAGGUGAGGUAACGGCUCACCUAGGCGACGAUACAUAGCCGACCUGAGAGGGUGAUCGGCCACACUGGGACUGGGAAACGGCCCAGACUCCUACGGGAGGCAGCAGUAGGGAAUCUUCGGCAAUGGACGAAAGUCUGACCGAGCAACGCCGCGUGAGUGAAGAAGGUUUUCGGAUCGUAAAGCUCUGUUGUAAGAGAAGAACGGGUGUGAGAGUGGAAAGUUCACACUGUGACGGUAGCUUACCAGAAAGGGACGGCUAACUACGUG